rnacentral:rRNA from 1 species
UACGUAGGGUGCAAGCGUUGUCCGGAAUUAUUGGGCGUAAAGAGCUCGUAGGCGGUCUGUCGCGUCUGCUGUGAAAACUCAGGGCUUAACCCUGAGCUUGCAGUGGGUACGGGCAGACUAGAGUGCGGUAGGGGAGACUGGAAUUCCUGGUGUAGCGGUGAAAUGCGCAGAUAUCAGGAGGAACACCGGUGGCGAAGGCGGGUCUCUGGGCCGAUACUGACGCUGGAGGAGCGAAAGCCGUGGGGAGCGAACAGGA